rnacentral:rRNA from 1 species
CCUACGGGCGGCUGCAGUGAGGAAUAUUGGUCAAUGGGCGCAAGCCUGAACCAGCCAUCCCGCGUGCAGGAUGACGGCCCUAUGGGUUGUAAACUGCUUUUAUACAGGAAGAAAAAUCCCUACGUGUAGGGACCUGCCGGUACUGUAUGAAUAAGCAUCGGCUAACUCCGUGCCAGCAGCCGCGGUAAUACGGAGGAUGCAAGCGUUAUCCGGAUUCAUUGGGUUUAAAGGGUGCGUAGGCGGCUUUUUAAGUCAGUGGUGAAAUCCUGUCGCUCAACGAUAGAAUUGCCAUUGAUACUGAAGAGCUUGAGUUCAGUUGAGGUAAGCGGAAUGUGUAGUGUAGCGGUGAAAUGCUUAGAUAUUACACAGAACACCGAUUGCGAAGGCAGCUUACUAAACUGACACUGACGCUGAUGCACGAAAGCGUGGGGAUCGAACAGGAUUAGAUACCCCUGUAGUC